UAGACGACAAGGCAAGCCGCAGACUGGAGCGACUAGCAAGAUGUGGAUUGAAUCUCAUGGACCGGUACGCACUAAGCUUGAAAGCGAAUGAAAAUUGCUAAUGCUGAUUACGUCCUGAGCCGUGCACUGCCUAUUUGGUUGAAUCUCAGACAUGCUGAGAUUGCAAGGCUGGAAAAUGAGACAUGCGUAAUGAGAUCGGUCGGCGUGGUUAGAUCAGAGGUGUGGGUUCGGGUAUAUUUAAACCCUCCAGACAAUCGGUGUGGAUACAGUCUUCAUGCUAUGCUGUGCCACACACACACACACACACACACACACACACACACAGCAGCAAAAUGACCUUCAGGACUUUUCCACGUCUCUUAUUUUUAGAGCAGGACUCAAAGGCACAGAUUGUCACAUUCUUUUGUUGCCUGGACACACGAGCUGCCUUUCCCCAGACUGCGACGACGUGCGAUACGAUAAAUUCUAGGAAGUGAAUGACUUCAUUUUGUUGGGUUUGUACUUCUGUACGUACCGACUGGAUUAUAAACCCUGAUGUGAAGGUCUGAGGUCAGUGACAGGAGACGACCGUGCGCUUACGAGAGCACAUCAGGAAGCUGGGGUCAGCCAUGAUACAGUGCACCUGGAGCAGAGAGGGUUAAGGGCCUUGCUCAAGGGCUCAACAGUGGCAGCUUGGCAGUGCUGGGGCUUGAACCCCUGACCGUCCCAUGAGUAACCCACUGCCUUAACCACCAAGCCACCACUGCACAGACAAGGUAGUCGAUGUUUUAUCUAAUCAAAUGCAUAGUUUUUUUAAGGUAAACCUUUAUUUUGAAAUUGAUGCAUGCAACACAUUCCAAAAAAGUUGGGACAGGGGCAGUUUAGGACUAAUAGCGAUGGGAGAAGUUGAAAUAAGAAGGUGAUGUGAAACAGGUGAGGAAAUCGUCUAAUCAUAGUAUAUAAGGAGUCUCCAAAAAAGGCCUGGUCCUUCAAGAGCAAGGAUGGGUCGAGGCUCGCAAUCUGCUAACAGAUGCGUCAGUGAAUAAUCCAACACUUUGAGAAGAACAUUCCCCAAAGAUAAAAUCAAUAGGAUUUGGGGCAUUUCACCUUAUGAAACCUCACAAUAUCAUUAAAAGAUUCAAAGAAUCUGGCUAAAUCUCGGUGCGUAAAGAGCAAGGCUGAAAACCACUUCUGAAUGCGCGUGAUCUCCGAUCCCUCAGACACCACUGUAUUAAAAACCAUCACGAGUCUGUAAUGGAGAUCCUGACAUGGGCUCGGGAAUACUUUGGUAAACCUUUCUCACUCAGCACCAUUCGCCGCUGCAUCCACAGAUGCAAGUUAAGG
ensembl:lncRNA